AUGAAUGAUGCACUAACUAAACCUUUUUCUGCCGAGGAAAUAAGCGAUGCCCUAUUCCAAAUUGGUCCCUUAAAAUCUCCCGGACCGGAUGGCUUUCCGGCGCGGUUCUUCCAAAGAAAUUGGGGGGAAGUUAAGGAGGAAGUUGUGAAAGGAGUAUUGGAUUUCUUUGAGAAGAGCAUUCUCCCGGAAGGAAUAAAUGACAGAGUGAUAGUAUUAAUACCAAAAGGUAAUGACCCACAAUCCUUGAAGGACUACAGACCGAUCAGCCUAUGUAACGUCAUAUAUAAAGUUGUGUCGAAGUGCCUUGUAAACAGGUUAAGGCCCAUCUUGGAUGAGAUCAUUUCAGAGACCCAGAGCGCUUUCAUUCCGGGCAGACUAAUAACAGAUAACGCCAUCAUUGCGUUCGAGUGUUUCCACAAGAUCCAACACUGUCGGAAUGAGAGAGACAAUUACUGUGCAUAUAAACUUGAUCUUGCAAAGGCGUAUGACAGAGUUGACUGGAGUUUUAUGGAAGGUGUUCUGCGGAAAUCAGGUUUUUGCAAAAAUAUGGACUGA
rnacentral:rRNA from 1 species